rnacentral:tmRNA from 1 species
GGGCCAGUAGAAGAUUCGAUUGCGAACGGCGGCUGAUGUAAGCAUACCGGAGGAUCCGGCUCCGUCAAAAACGGUAAAUUAAAAUUAAACGCUAACAACAAUAGCAACAACGCGGAACUCGCGUUCGCGGCCUAAGGGCUGCACGUCGCUUGCCGUCUCCCACAGGCGGUAAGGGGCGUCAUUUUUGUGGGGAACAUCGCUUUGCGUCCGGCUCUUGGCGCACUGUGAGGAUUUUUUAGGGUAAGCCUUCGCGCAGGCUGUCUUUGUCCGAAGCGCAGGCGAGAUAAAAUCAAAGACUAAGUAUGUAGAAAGCACAGGCAAACUUCGUAAGACACGGGAGCGUUACCCGUCUGGUCCACCA